rnacentral:rRNA from 1 species
AGUGAACGCUGGCGGUAGGCCUAACACAUGCAAGUCGAACGGCAGCACAGUAAGAGCUUGCUCUUACGGGUGGCGAGUGGCGGACGAGUGAGGAAUACAUCGGAAUCUACUUUUUCGUGGGGGAUAACGUAGGGAAACUUACGCUAAUACCGCAUACGACCUACGGGUGAAAGCAGGGGAUCUUCGGACCUUGCGCGAUUGAAUGAGCCGAUGUCGGAUUAGCUAGUUGGCGGGGUAAAGGCCCACCAAGGCGACGAUCCGUAGCUGGUCUGAGAGGAUGAUCGGCCACACUGGAACUGAGACACGGUCCAGACUCCUACGGGAGGCAGCAGUGGGGAAUAUUGGACAAUGGGCGCAAGCCUGAUCCAGCCAUACCGCGUGGGUGAAGAAGGCCUUCGGGUUGUAAAGCCCUUUUGUUGGGAAAGAAAAGCAGCAGGUUAAUACCCCGCUGUUCUGACGGUACCCAAAGAAUAAGCACCGGCUAACUUCGU